rnacentral:rRNA from 1 species
ACUCAAAGGAAUUGACGGGGGCCCGCACAAGCGGUGGAGCAUGUGGUUCAAUUCGAUGAUACGCGAAUAACCUUACCAGGGCUUGACAUUUAGAUGAUCGACACAGAGAUGUGUCUUCCCUCCGGGGCAUCUAAACAGGUGCUGCAUGGCUGUCGUCAGCUCGUGUUGUGAGAUGUUGGGUUAAGUCCCGCAACGAGCGCAACCCUUACUACUAGUUGCCAUCAGGUUAUGCUGGGCACUCUAGCGGAACUGCCGGUGACAAACCGGAGGAAGGUGGGGAUGACGUCAAGUCCUCAUGGCCCUUAUGUCCUGGGCUACACACGUGCUACAAUGGGCUGUACAAAGGGUAGCAAGACCGUAAGGUGGAGCCAAUCCCAAAAAGCAGUCCUUAGUUCGGAUUGGAGUCUGCAACUCGACUCCAUGAAGCUGGAAUCGCUAGUAAUCGCAGAUCAGAAUGCUGUGGUGAAUACGUUCCCGGGCCUUGCACACACCGCCCGU